UGCAGUCGAGCGAAUGACGAGGAGCUUGCUCCUCUGAUUUAGCGGCGGACGGGUGAGUAACACGUGGGUAAUCUGCCUGUAAGACGGGGAUAACUCCGGGAAACCGGGGCUAAUACCGGAUAACAAGAGAAGAAGCAUUUCUUCUUUUUGAAAGUCGGUUUCGGCUGACACUUACAGAUGAGCCCGCGGCGCAUUAGCUAGUUGGUGAGGUAACGGCUCACCAAGGCGACGAUGCGUAGCCGACCUGAGAGGGUGAUCGGCCACACUGGGACUGAGACACGGCCCAGACUCCUACGGGAGGCAGCAGUAGGGAAUCUUCGGCAAUGGGCGAAAGCCUGACCGAGCAACGCCGCGUGAGCGAUGAAGGCCUUCGGGUCGUAAAGCUCUGUUGUUAGAGAAGAACAAGUACGAGAGUAACUGCUCGUACCUUGACGGUACCUAACCAGAAAGCCACGGCUAACUACGUGCCAGCAGCCGCGGUAAUACGUAGGUGGCAAGCGUUAUCCGGAAUUAUUGGGCGUAAAGCGCGCGCAGGCGGUCUCUUAAGUCUGAUGUGAAAGCCCACGGCUCAACCGUGGAGGGUCAUUGGAAACUGGGAGACUUGAGUGCAGGAGAGAAAAGUGGAAUUCCACGUGUAGCGGUGAAAUGCGUAGAGAUGUGGAGGAACACC
rnacentral:rRNA from 1 species